GUUUUCUGCUUCUCUCGUCAACCUCCAUGGAUAUAAAAGGGAAAAGCUAGAGAACUGUUUCUGGUUAUGGUUGUGGUGUUUGAUGAAAAGGGUGUUAAUAGAAAACCUAGAAAAAGAGUGGUGGAGAGAGAGAGAGAGAGAGAGAGAGAGAGAGAGAGAGAGAGAGAGAGAGAGAGAGAGAGAGAGAAUCCGACAGUUGCAAACUAUUAUUUGCUGUAUAUCAGAAGAGAUGGGUGGGGUGAGUUUAUGGCUUUGUUGUAACAAUUGACAGCUGCUUCAAAGAGAGAAAG
rnacentral:lncRNA from 1 species